GAUCAUGGCUCAGGAUGAACGCUAGCGGCAGGCUUAAUACAUGCAAGUCGAGGGGCGGCAUGGUGUAGCAAUACACUGAUGGCGACCGGCAAACGGGCGCGGAACACGUACAGAACCUUCCUUCGAGCGGGGAAUAGCCCAGAGAAAUUUGGAUUAAUACCCCAUAGUAUAGCGGAGAGGCAUCUCUCUGUUAUUAAAGAUUUAUCACUUGAAGAUGGCUGUGCGGCUGAUUAGGUAGUUGGCGGGGUAACGGCCCACCAAGCCUGCGAUCAGUAACUGGUGUGAGAGCACGACCAGUCACACGGGCACUGAGACACGGGCCCGACUCCUACGGGAGGCAGCAGUAAGGAAUAUUGGUCAAUGGACGAAAGUCUGAACCAGCCAUGCCGCGUGGAGGAUGAAGGUCCUCUGGAUUGUAAACUUCUUUUAUAUGGGACGAAAAAGGUCUUUCUAGAUCGUCUGACGGUACCAUAUGAAUAAGCACCGGCUAACUCCGUG
rnacentral:rRNA from 1 species